rnacentral:rRNA from 1 species
CCUACGGGAGGCAGCAGUGAGGAAUAUUGGUCAAUGGACGCAAGUCUGAACCAGCCAUGCCGCGUGCAGGAAGAAGGCUCUAUGAGUUGUAAACUGCUUUUGUACGGGGGUAAACGCAGAUACGUGUACCUGUCUGAAAGUACCGUACGAAUAAGGAUCGGCUAACUCCGUGCCAGCAGCCGCGGUAAUACGGAGGGUGCGAGCGUUAUCCGGAUUUAUUGGGUUUAAAGGGUGCGUAGGCGGUCUGGUAAGUUAGAGGUGAAAUCCCGAGGCUCAACUUGGGAAUUGCCUCUGAUACUGUUCGGCUAGAGUGUAGGUGAGGUAGGCGGAAUGUAUGGUGUAGCGGUGAAAUGCUUAGAGAUC